UAGGGAAUCUUCCGCAAUGGACGCAAGUCUGACGGAGCAACGCCGCGUGAGUGAAGAAGGAUUUCGGUUCGUAAAACUCUGUUGUUAGAGAAGAACAGCGCAUAGAGUAACUGUUAUGCGUGUGACGGUAUCUAACCAGAAAGCCACGGCUAACUACGUGCCAGCAGCCGCGGUAAUACGUAGGUGGCAAGCGUUGUCCGGAUUUAUUGGGCGUAAAGCGAGCGCAGGCGGUCAAUUAAGUCUGAUGUGAAAGCCCCCGGCUCAACCGGGGAGGGUCAUUGGAAACUGGUUGACUUGAGUGCAGAAGAGGAGAGUGGAAUUCCAUGUGUAGCGAUGAAAUGCGUAGAUAUAUGGAGGAACACCAGUGGCGAAGGCGACUCUCUGGUCUGUAACUGACGCGGAGGCUCGAAAGCGUGGGUAGCAAACAGG
rnacentral:rRNA from 1 species